AAUGGGACACCCGGGGUUAGAAUGUGGUGGAGGAACUCGAUUGUGACCCAGACACUGGAGUAACGAACAGCGACUGUUACAUCACAAAACCAGGGGUAGUUCCCCAGCCGAUACCGAGCCGUGAGCAUAAAAUACCAGGAAAUGUUCUUUAAACAGCUCAGCACAGUCACUGCUCCCAGAACCACAGCCGCCGUUUUCUCACUGCAAUAUUUACUUUUCAGCUUCUGGCAACAAAUGGCCACAAACCGGUCAAAGGUGAAAGUGACGGUGAACCAGACAGAGCAGUCAGUGGCUGCAUAAAGCAGGACGGCGUGGAUAUUACACACGGGGACGGAGUACAGGAAAUAAAACUGAUCCCGAUAAACAAUGGGAAUGUGUCUCAGGAUCAGGUCGAGGAUAAUGACCAGGAGAUCCGCUGCUGCCAUGGCCCCCAGAUGCUGACAGACCUGCUGAGCUCCUCCAGAAAUGAAUAGGCAGAGAACAAUUUUCCACAAAACUACUAACUAUGGAUACUGGCAAUAAAAAUACCAAAAUUUCUUGAGAAA